rnacentral:tRNA from 1 species
UGCGCUGUAGUUUAAUGGAUUAGAAUAUUUGGUUUCUACCCAAAUGGUGAAGGUUCGACUCCUUCCAGCGUAA